rnacentral:lncRNA from 1 species
CUAGAAAAUAAAGUCUACUUAAAACCCCCAAAACAUUGGAUUUCUUUACUAUAAGAUCACCAAUUCUUAUUAUUUUUAAUCACUUCUGAAGUGGAACAAUAAUAGAAGAUCACAUUCUGAUUUCAACCUUACGGUUUGCUUGAAUCUGCAUUUUCAGACGCAGACUCAAAAGUGGUUGGAAAAUGUGGUUCAUAUUUUUAAUUUUAUUUAUUUCACCUUUAUUUAGCCAGGUAGGCCAGUUGAGAACAAGUUCUCAUUUACAACUGCGACCUGGCCAAGAUAAGGCAAAGCAGUGCGACAAAAACAACAACACAGAGUUACACAUAAACAAAUGUACAGUCAAUAACACAAAAGAAAAAUCUAUGUAGAGUGUGUGCAAAUGUAGAAGAGUAGGGAGGUAAGGAAAUAAAAAGGCCAUAGAGGCGAAAUAAUUACAAUUUAGCAUUAACACUGGAGCGAUAUAUGUGCAGAUGAUGAUGUGCAAGUAGAGAUCCUGGGGUGCAAAAGAGCAAGAGGAUAAGUAACAAUAUGGGGAUGAGGUAGUUGGGUGUGCUAUUUACAGAUUGGCUGUGUACAGGUACAGUGAUCGGUAAGCUGCUCUGACAGCUGAUGUUUAAAGUUAGAGAAGGAGAUUGAAGCCCGGAGUCUUCUGUGAUUUCUGCAUUUCGUUCCAGUCAUUGGCAGCAGAGAACUGGAACGAAAGGCGGCUAAAGGAAGUCCAGGUGGAAAGCAUGGCCAGCCGUAGAAAAAUGCUUAUUGAAAUGAUCGAUUAUCGUAGAUUUAUCGGGGGUGACAAUGUUUCCUAUCCUCAGUGCAGUGGGCAGCUGGGAGGAAGUGCUCUUAUUCUCCAUGGACUUUACAGUGUACCAAAAUGUUUUGGAAUUAGUGCUACAGGAUGCAAAUGUCUGUUCGAAAUAGCUAGCCUUAGUUUUCCUAACUGACAGAGUAUAUUGGUUCCUGACUUCCCUGAAAUGUUGCAUAUCGCGGGGGCUAUUCGAUGCUAAUGCAGAACGCCACAGGAUGUUUUUGUGCUGGUCAAGGACAGUCAAGUCUGGGGUGAACCAAGGGCUAUUAGUUCUACAUUUUUUGAAUGGGGCAUACUUAUUAAAGAUGGUGAGGAAAGCAAUUUU